rnacentral:ncRNA from 1 species
GGUAUUUCGUAUCCGCGGGCUAAGAGGGAAGCAGGUGGGAAUCCUGCGCAGUCCGGCUGCUGUAAGGGGGCGUACAAACGAUUAUGAUGUACGAUUCCGGCUCAAAAUCUUAAACCACUGAAGCGUAGCUUCGGGAAGGUGAGACGGAAGACCUAAGUCAGAAGACCUGCCAAUGCGUG